AGCGUACACGGUGGAUGCCCUGGCAGUCAGAGGCGAUGAAGGACGUGCUAAUCUGCGAAAAGCGUCGGUAAGGUGAUAUGAACCGUUAUAACCGGCGAUGUCCGAAUGGGGAAACCCAGUGUGAUUCGUCACACUAUCGUUAACUGAAUACAUAGGUUAACGAGGCGAACCGGGGGAACUGAAACAUCUAAGUACCCCGAGGAAAAGAAAUCAACCGAGAUUCCCCCAGUAGCGGCGAGCGAACGGGGAGCAGCCCAGAGUCUGAAUCAGCUUGUGUGUUAGUGGAACGGUCUGGAAAGUCCGACGGUACAGGGUGAUAGUCCCGUACACCAAAAUGCACAGGUUGUGAACUCGAAGAGUAGGGCGGGACACGUGGUAUCCUGUCUGAAUAUGGGGGGACCAUCCUCCAAGGCUAAAUACUCCUGACUGACCGAUAGUGAACCAGUACCGUGAGGGAAAGGCGAAAAGAACCCCGGCGAGGGGAGUGAAAAAGAACCUGAAACCGUGUACGUACAAGCAGUGGGAGCACCUUUAUGGUGUGACUGCGUACCUUUUGUAUAAUGGGUCAGCGACUUAUAUUCUGUAGCAAGGUUAACCGUAUAGGGGAGCCGCAGGGAAACCGAGUCUUAACUGGGCGUUAAGUUGCAGGGUAUAGACCCGAAACCCGGUGAUCUAGCCAUGGGCAGGUUGAAGGUUGGGUAACACUAACUGGAGGACCGAACCGACUAAUGUUGAAAAAUUAGCGGAUGACUUGUGGCUGGGGGUGAAAGGCCAAUCAAACCGGGAGAUAGCUGGUUCUCCCCGAAAGCUAUUUAGGUAGCGCCUCGUGAAUUCAUCUUCGGGGGUAGAGCACUGUUUCGGCUAGGGGGUCAUCCCGACUUACCAACCCGAUGCAAACUACGAAUACCGAAGAAUGUUAUCACGGGAGACACACGGCGGGUGCUAACGUCCGUCGUGAAGAGGGAAACAACCCAGACCGCCAGCUAAGGUCCCAAAGUCAUGGUUAAGUGGGAAACGAUGUGGGAAGGCCCAGACAGCCAGGAUGUUGGCUUAGAAGCAGCCAUCAUUUAAAGAAAGCGUAAUAGCUCACUGGUCGAGUCGGCCUGCGCGGAAGAUGUAACGGGGCUAAACCAUGCACCGAAGCUGCGGCAGCGACACUAUGUGUUGUUGGGUAGGGGAGCGUUCUGUAAGCCUGUGAAGGUGUACUGUGAGGUAUGCUGGAGGUAUCAGAAGUGCGAAUGCUGACAUAAGUAACGAUAAAGCGGGUGAAAAGCCCGCUCGCCGGAAGACCAAGGGUUCCUGUCCAACGUUAAUCGGGGCAGGGUGAGUCGACCCCUAAGGCGAGGCCGAAAGGCGUAGUCGAUGGGAAACAGGUUAAUAUUCCUGUACUUGGUGUUACUGCGAAGGGGGGACGGAGAAGGCUAUGUUAGCCGGGCGACGGUUGUCCCGGUUUAAGCAUGUAGGCGGAGGUUCCAGGUAAAUCCGGUACCUUUUAACGCUGAGGUGUGAUGACGAGGCACUACGGUGCUGAAGUAACAAAUGCCCUGCUUCCAGGAAAAGCCUCUAAGCAUCAGGUAACAUCAAAUCGUACCCCAAACCGACACAGGUGGUCAGGUAGAGAAUACCAAGGCGCUUGAGAGAACUCGGGUGAAGGAACUAGGCAAAAUGGUGCCGUAACUUCGGGAGAAGGCACGCUGGUGUGUAGGUGAAGUCCCUGCGGAUGGAGCUGAGACCAGUCGAAGAUACCAGCUGGCUGCAACUGUUUAUUAAAAACACAGCACUGUGCAAACACGAAAGUGGACGUAUACGGUGUGACGCCUGCCCGGUGCCGGAAGGUUAAUUGAUGGGGUUAUCCGUAAGGAGAAGCUCUUGAUCGAAGCCCCGGUAAACGGCGGCCGUAACUAUAACGGUCCUAAGGUAGCGAAAUUCCUUGUCGGGUAAGUUCCGACCUGCACGAAUGGCGUAAUGAUGGCCAGGCUGUCUCCACCCGAGACUCAGUGAAAUUGAACUCGCUGUGAAGAUGCAGUGUACCCGCGGCAAGACGGAAAGACCCCGUGAACCUUUACUAUAGCUUGACACUGAACAUUGAGCCUUGAUGUGUAGGAUAGGUGGGAGGCUUUGAAGCGUGGACGCCAGUCUGCGUGGAGCCAACCUUGAAAUACCACCCUUUAAUGUUUGAUGUUCUAACGUAGGCCCCUAAUCGGGGUUGCGGACAGUGUCUGGUGGGUAGUUUGACUGGGGCGGUCUCCUCCCAAAGAGUAACGGAGGAGCACGAAGGUUAGCUAAUCCUGGUCGGACAUCAGGAGGUUAGUGCAAUGGCAUAAGCCAGCUUGACUGCGAGCGUGACGGCGCGAGCAGGUGCGAAAGCAGGUCAUAGUGAUCCGGUGGUUCUGAAUGGAAGGGCCAUCGCUCAACGGAUAAAAGGUACUCCGGGGAUAACAGGCUGAUACCGCCCAAGAGUUCAUAUCGACGGCGGUGUUUGGCACCUCGAUGUCGGCUCAUCACAUCCUGGGGCUGAAGUAGGUCCCAAGG
rnacentral:rRNA from 1 species